UCUCUCUCCCGCUCCAAUUAUUUCGAGCUAAAAAAACCAAAAGAGCACCCCCAGCAACCACCACUUCCCAUCGCCCGAUCCCCCUUUCUCUCUAGGGUUUUCUCCGAUCGCCGCCGCCCUCUCCGGAACCCAAGUCGAAUUCUAGAUCUUGAAUCUGAUCGCUCUCUCUUGCGCCAGCCUGGGACGAUUUGCAGGGCUCACGGCCUCCUUUCUGCGUCCGCUGAUCUCAGAUCGACGUGGUUUUGGAUCAGAAGGUUCCGUUUGUGGAUUUGAGGAUCGUUUUCUUGAAAUUUCUCGUAUCCAUGCGUUUUUUCCCUGGAGCCAUUAGCCAAACCGAGCCUAAAAUUGGGAUGAUCGGAGCCCUGGUGCGAUUUUUGGAGGAAAGAAAUUGCAUCAGAAACCACGUAGGGAGUCUUACUAUUUUCGUCUUCUGUUUCAAAUAGACUACGUCUUGAGUGGAAAAAGAAUUGUUGUGUGUGCCGGACUGCGACACUGCAAUCUUCAUUUUGUAGCCCGCUUUCAAUUCUUUCCCUCUUCGUUUUGUUGCAUGAGAUGUUAUGGUAUGGUGGACACUCAUCAGGCAAGUUAGAUGGUAUGUAAUGCUGGCGUAGACAUUUUUUGUCGAUCGGACAAAAAAAACAAGGGUUCCACUACCAAGGAAGACGGGGUAGAAGGGUCGGGUUGUGCUCAAGGUACGAAGCUUGGUUUGAGCUGCCUAAGAAGCAGGGUUGAUCUAGAGCAGUUGUAAAGAUGAUGGUGGAUUCUGGUCUAGCUGUGGAGCCUGGAGCUGCCACUGAUUUAACACCCAAAAAGGAACGUAUCGGCAAUGGUGAUUAUGCUAGUGGAAGAUGGAAAAGUGAGGAUGGUAGUUUAACUUGUGGAUACUCCAGCUUCAGGGGAAAAAGAGUGAGCAUGGAGGACUGCUAUGAUCUAAAAUCAGCUAAGAUUGAUGGACAGACAAUUUAUCUUUUUGGAAUAUUUGAUGGGCAUGGUGGUUCACGUGCUGCUGAGUAUUUGAAGGAGCACUUGUUUGACAACCUUACAAGGCAUCCAAAGUUCAUGACACACACAAAACUUGCAAUAAGUGAAACAUAUCGUAGAACUGAUUCAGACUUUCUAGCUGCUGAAAGCAAUACUUCCAGAGAUGAUGGUUCUACAGCAUCUACAGCUGUUCUGAUAGGCAAGCGCUUAUAUGUAGCUAAUGUUGGAGAUUCACGUGUUGUGAUAUCAAAGACAGGAAAAGCAAUCCCUCUCUCUGAUGAUCAGAAGCCAAACAGAAGUGAUGAACGCAAGAGAAUUGAGGAUGCUGGAGGAGUUGUCAUGUGGGCUGGUACUUGGAGAGUUGGAGGCAUAUUGGCAAUGUCACGGGCGUUUGGUAACCGCCUUCUGAAACAAUUUGUUGUAGCAGAGCCUGAGAUUCAGGAACAAGUGGUAGAUGAAGAAUUGGAAUUUCUGGUUUUGGCCAGUGAUGGGCUGUGGGAUGUGGUAACAAACGAGGAUGCUGUUUCGCUUGUGAGAGUGGAAGACGAACCUGAGGCUGCAGCUCGCAAGUUAACAGAGACUGCCUUCUCUUGUGGCAGUGCAGACAACAUCACAUGCAUCGUAGUCAGAUUCCAUCAGGAAAAUCUUGACGGGGAAUCUCCACCUCCAGCAGGAACGCUAGAUUGAAGUAUCACGGAGACGGCGGCACGGAUGCAGUUUUCCAUCUUUGCUUUUUGAUGUCCACUACGUACCCGCCAGUCAAGAUGUUUGCCGAAGUCUCCCCGGUCAGCAACCAACAGCAACUUUAUCAGCAGAAUUCUGUGGCGUGGGAUGAUAAUAGGCUGUUGUUGGUGCAAGCAUCACAUACACAAAGCAAAACGUUCUAACUUUCCAAAAGGAAAAAGAUAAAAAAAAAAAAGAUGUGAUAAUUGCAGUGUAAAUGGUGAAAUGGUUGUCAGGAGCCAAUGAUAAUACUGUGACAUCAAUUGCCAGACUUUCCAUCACGCUGCUGCUCCAGAUAGAUAAUGGAAGAAAGACGUCGUUGGUUGAAGACCAAGAAUAAUGUGUCCCACACGAUCAAAUUUAAUCCCCAGGCCAUAUGUCACUGGUAUCCGCAUCUUCCACUUCCACCGAAGUCUUCUUGGGAUCCGCCGACCGAUCGAUCUUGCUCAUUUCUUCUUUUUCUAAUAUGGUGUGGCGGCCGCCGGUUGCGCCGCUGCUGUUGGUUAUCCUCCUCGCGGUACAAAAAGGUGCCGAUGAAGAGGCGGGGGGAGGUGGUGUCGAUCACCGACUUCGGAGGAGUUGGCGACCGGCGGACGCUUAACACGGCGGCUUUCGAGAGCGCCGUCUCCCGAUUCGAACAACGGAACGCUUCUCUGCAUCCCUGCAGGGGUCUGUCUCGCUGGAGCCUUCAACCUCGCCAGUCACAUGACGCUCUUCCUUGCUGCGGGCGCCGUCAUCAAGGCCACCCGGGUUACGGUCCUAUUCCCUUUUGCUUCGGAGUUUUUUUGUUCUUAGUUUGGAGGAGAAAGAACCCAAGAGCCUCUCGACCUACUUCUCGUUGCAAUGUCUUGUAUCAGUAGGAGAGCGUAAAGCUGGUGGGUGAUGGAAAUACCAGGAUAAACUGUUUCCCUUGAUUAGUGAAAACUGCGGCAGUAUGCGUUGGAUCGACUGUUUAUGGCAAUGCUCGGGUGGAAACUUCAUCCCCUCCUCUGAUCUUAGUUAUCGGUUGGUGUAGGAUGCAUCGAGUUGGCCCUUGAUCGAUCCUUCACCAUCAUAUGGGAGAGGACGUGAGCUUCCGGGUGGGAGAUACAUGAGUUGAUUCAUGGAAAUGGGCUUCAAGAUGUGAUUAUUGCAGGUUUUGCUCUUAGAUUAUGGUUUUGGUCUUUGCUACCUGUUGUUGCUAUUUUAUUUGCAGAAAAAGGUGGGCAUCCCUCUGUGCAUUCCAUAGAAACAGAAGUAGAUGGGAGCUAAGAGUACAACUAAAUUUUAGAUUAAUUAUUCAUCUAGAAGCAUAAGACAAAGAUGACUGGAUAGCUUCUGCAUCAUUGAUCUUAAGCUGGAGACUUAUAUAUGUUUUCUUAAGCUUCAACUUCUUUUUGCAUUUAGUUUUUUCAAAAUGACUUACCAAAAUGGUAGUAAGUCUUUUGUUAAUGUGAUCCCUUCAUAAAGAACUAUGUUAUUAUACAAUACCACAUUUGAGCUCAAAUAGAUCUUCUUCAUGAUCAACAAAGAAAGAAAGGAUUAUCAUUGCAGCCCAUAUGGCUGACUGAUGUUAGAAAAAGGAGAUUCGACUAUUAUAUGGUGCAAAAGAUGUUCUGAGUUGGAUGGAAGUUAUUGUGUGGAUCAACAAUCCCAGCUGUUGUACAGGUAAACAUCUCCAAGUUAGAAAGGAUCAUUGACUUAAAGACAAGCAGGAACUGAUGUUUCCCUUUUCUUUUUUUUUUCUCUUUAGUUUUUCUUUAAUGAUUUUUCUAUGUUUUAGUAUACACAGUUUUAUUUAAAGAAAGUCCUAGAUCGUACUCUUUUCUCAAAAUUCACUUGCUAACUAGACUUACUAUGCAUUUGCAUGAUUGAUUUCUCAAUGACUGUUAUUUCUUCUGGUGAGAAUUGAACAAUCGAUGGCCAAGGUGAUGUGUGGUGGAAUAUGUGGAGACAGACAACCCUACGUUCUACAAGACCAAAGCUUUUGGAGAUCAUGCAUUCUACAGAUAUCAUCAUCUCUAAUAUUGUCUUCGAGAUUUCACCCUUCUGGAAUAUUCACCUGUUUUUUGCAGCAAUGUGGUAGUGAGAAAUGUGACUAUCUUGGCUCCACAUGAUUCUCGUAAUACUGAUGGAGCCGAUCCAGAUUCAAGCUCUAAUGUGUGUAUCGAGGACUGCUACAUUUCAACAGAGGAUGAUUUAGUGGCUAUGAAGAGUGGUUGGGAUGAGUAUGCCAUUGUUUAUGCUCAUCCUAGCUCUGGGAUAACCAUUCAGUGAUUAACAAGGACCGCCAUUGGGAUCCAUAUAAAGACCAAUGCUGGCAGGGGAGGGUUCAUCAGAAACAUAACGGUGUCAGACGUGAAUCUAAGCAACAUUCACAAGGGGUUGAGGAUCGCAGGAAAUGUGGGAGGUCACCCGGAUGACAAAUAUGGCCUUAAUGCUCUUCUUUUUGUUGAUGGAUUAACGAUCAAGAAUGUGCAAGGUGUGGGUAUCCAGCAGCCUGAAACGAUACUGGGGAUCAAGAAAUCUCCCUUCACUCGAAUUUGCCUCAUGAAUGUGAAGCUCUAUGUCAAUGGGUUCAUCAGAAAUAUAAUGGUGUCAGACGUGAAUCUAAGCAACGUUCACAAGGGGUUGAGGAUCGCAGGAAAUGUGGGAGGUCACCCAGAUGACAAAUAUGGCCUUAAUGCUCUUCUUGUUGUUGAUGGAUUAACAAUCAAGAAUGUUAGAGGUGUGGGUAUGCAGCAGCCUGAAACAAUACAGGGGAUCAAGAAAUCUCCCUUCACUCGAAUUUGCCUCAUGAAUGUGAAGUUCUAUGUCAAUGGGCCAUGCAAAGUGCCAUGGAUGUGCCCUGAUGUGAGUGGCGGUGCCCUUAAGGUGCAGCCAUCACCUUGCACAGAGUUGACCGGCGCAAAUGACACGAGCUUUUCUACUAAUGCUUUCUGGUGUCCAUUUCUGUGGUAAAUACCCUUAAUCUGCAACAAGGGGGUGUUUUUACAAUUUGGUGAAUGUGAAUAAGAGAUUUGAGAUCUGAUGAUACUUGUAUAUCCAGUUGUUUUGAAGCAUAAAAGGAUCGGAACACUAAAAGCCAAAGAAACUUCUAAUGUGUCAAGUGAAUGAUUUGAGUGAUUUAUCAAAAAUUUCAAGCACAGCGACUAUCUUCACCAAUAUGACAGGCAUUGCAAACUCUUUCUUCUCUGCAGCUGUCGUUGAUGAACAAUGUGUUUGAACACGAUCAUCCGUAUUGGUAAGCGAUUGCCAUCAUCAGGAACAUGAUCAUCUUCUAUCUUCUAUCUGCAGGUUUCAGUGUUCUCCCAUUUCCCAUGAGUUGUCUCAAGAUCAUCUUGUUUCCACUUCACCAGAAGUCGUUGCAAGAGCACUUUCCAUCCCUGAAAUGGUGAAACCGAGCCCCAGCCCUGAGAAGAAUCUCGCGACCAGUCAUCUGCGACAUUGCAGAUCAGCCCAUAUGCCAUUGCCAGCUUCUCCGUGUGGCUCAGCAGCAACUUCUCCUUCUCUUCCUCUCCAAUGUGGUGGGCGAUGCAGCUGGUAUCAGGCACAUAUCCUCGUCUCCUCAUCGCCGACACCAGUCGAUACAGCUCGAAGUAUAUCUCCCCGGUAUCAGGGUGAGGUGGUCCUCCUUCCACGCCGAAGACAUGCACGGUCUGGUUGAUCUGUAUCCAGCUCCAUCCACCCCUGCUCUCCACUCCUGCUGCAUUCUUCGCAUCCCUCACGUCCUCAGCAUCUUCCCAGCGGUUCUCGCAGGCGUAUAUGCUCAUCAUCAACACAUAGUUUGCCGGAUUUGAUGGCUCCAACUGGAAGAGUUGCUUGGCAGCCAUUUCUGCGAGCUCCACGUUUCUGUGAGUUCUGCAUGCUGCGAGCAGGGAGCCCCAGAUGCCAGCAUCUGCCUCCAAUGGCAUGCUCUGGAUGAAGUCCCAUGCCUCGUCGAGGUAUCCGCAUCGAGCAAGGAGAUCGACCAUGCAAGUGUAGUGCUCCAGAGUUGGGGUGACACCGAACCCUUUCAUGCCAUCAAAAAGCUUCCAUCCUUGGGUCACCAAACCUGAAUGCCUGCACCCUGAGAGAACUGCAGUGAAGGUGAUACCAUCUGGCUUGAUUCCUUCUCCACACAUCCGAUCGAAGAGUGAAAUCGCUUCUUCGCCUCGACCGUGAGCUGCGAAUCCCAUGAUCAUGGCGUUCCAUGAGGCCAGGUUUCUGUGCCUGAGCUUCUCAAACACCCUGUUGGCCUCGGCUAAACUGCCGGACUUGGCAUACAUGUCGAUGAGCGCGGUGGCCACGAAGAUAUCGUCGUCGAGGUCUCUCCUCGCCGCGAAGCAGUGCAGUUCUCUGCCCUUCCCUAGCAGGGCCAUCGCCGCACAAGCUCGGAGCAGGCAAGCGACAGAGACCGAGUUGGGCUGAACUCCCUCGCUCAGCAUCUCCCUGAAGAAGUAGAUGGCGUCUUCGUAUCGUUCAUUGCGGCAGCAACCGGAGAUGACUGCAGUCCAUGAGACCACAUUUGGAACCACACCGUUUGCUUUCAGCUGACGAAUUAGUACUACCGCCUGCUUGCUUCGCCCAUGAAUGGAGUAUCCCGAGAUCAAGCCAUUCCAUGUUGUCAAAUCGGGCUGCUCUCCUUCCUCCUCCAUCUGCUCCAUCAGUUGCAGAGCUUCCUCGAACAACCCUUCAUGUGCGUACCCUGAAAUCAUCGAGUUCCAUUUCCUACGAACACCUUCCGAUCGAGCCCGUGCCUGAUAGCGUAUCCAUGGAUUGUCUUGCCCAACUCAACCAAACCAGAAUGGGUAACGGGACGAAGAACACUUGUGAUGGAGCUGGAAUUCGGCUGGAAUCCAUCUUCCUGCAUCUUUCGGAGAAGCUCGAAAGUCCGGUGAGGCGAUCCGUGGUGAGAGUGACCGGAGAUCAAGCAAUUCCAAGUAACCAAGUCGGGCUCCGCUCCGAAAGCCACCAUGUCGCGGAACAGAUCCAAGGCGUCCUCGAGAAACCCAUUGAGAGAACAGCAGGAGAUGAUGGAAUUCCACGACACCAGCGUCCUUCCUCCCAUGUACUCGAACACUCUCCUCGCUAGCUUCACCAGCGAGUUCUUGGAGUACAUGGAGAUCAAGGAGUUGCUCACCAGUGCGCACUGGAAACUCCCUGAUCUGAUGACAUGUCCAUGUAUCACCUUGCCUUGCUUGACAGCCUCGAGUCUCCCGCAGGCAUGCAGAGCUUUGGCCACUGUGACUUCAUCAGCUUCCAGGCCAACGAGCUGCAUCAUUCGGAACAAGUCGAGUGCUUCGAUCCAUUUCCCUCUCUCCACAUUGAGCACAAUGAAGUUGUUCCACAAAAUCGAAUCCUCGGUAAACGACGACUCUUCAAACAAUCUAUCGGCGGAUUCUGAGCUGCAACAACGGGCGUAGAAAUCCAGCAGAGAGCACCUGAUCUCCCGGAAAAUCUCGAGCAACUCGCGGGUACUUCUUUCUCCGGCGCCGUCGAAAGAAUCGAUCAGAUAGCUCCACGAAAGAGUGUCAGAUUGCAAGGCAAUAAAGAAAACUGCGGCAGCCGAUCGGAAAUCUCCAAACUUCGAGUAGACUUGAAUGAGGAAGUCCAUCGCGGACUUCGAGCUCCGCGGCUCUGCGGCCUUUACAAUCCGGGCAUGGACUUGCUUGACUGAGCCCAGAGAUGUGGAGUAGAUGGGAUCGUCUAAAGCGAGUGAGGGGGAAGGGAACGUGAGGACAGCAGGGGAAGUCUCGACGGCGGCGGGUGAGGGUUGAAGUAGGGCUUGCGGGACGGGAGAGCUCGUUCUUCUCCAUCUCUUUCUCAGGUCGGCGGAACGCUUGCAAGGGGAAGAGGGUCUAAAGCUGCGAGAGGAGAGGGUUUGCUCCAUGAGAGGACACAGAAGUGAACAGUAACGGGUUCAGGAAGAGCAGGGAAGAGGAGGGAAGAGGAGACUGAGCGCAGUGGCAGAGGAAGACCCGAGCUUUUCACCAUGGCCAGCCAUGACUGUGCAGAACAAAUGGAUAAGGUCGGGGAGUUUGGAGCAGCCAGUUACUGGUAGAUGAUCCCUUGAGACUUUUCAAUAGAUUUGGUGCCGUGGUCAACAACGAGGAUGUGGAAAAGGGUCUGCUUCCCAAUUUGUUUCAGCUACAUGAAUCGCUUACAUCAUCAUUAAUCAAGGUAAUAUUAGUCAACU